AUGGUCAGCCAAGAAAUUACAUCUCAUCAACAAAGCAAAGAGAAAAGUCCUAGUCUCUUCAUCAAGACAAGGAACAGAGCAGUCAGCAGGAAGAGAAGACCUACAGCUGGGAAAAGAAGGAAGCAAGUGACUAAAUCCUGGUGUAAGUUUCUGAACAAAUGGUACAGAGAAGGUUCAACUGAAUGCAGUUUAUUUUUACUGCGAAGCAUACACACAAGAUUCACCUCCAUAUCAUACAGAGUUCCAAACUCUAUUGCAUUUUUAAAUUGCAAGAAAAAAGUAAAAUGUGAAAUUCCUGUGCACUUUUUUUUAGUGUUGGACUAAGUUUUUCAUUUACCAGCUGUUGUAGCACAGCAGUAAGUAGUGGUUCAUUAUUGAUGGAUAAAAUGUUCAAACAUUUAAGGAAAUGAAAGUCAGCCUUGAAUUUUUAAUUAUUUAAUUAAAAGUACUGCAAAUGCCAGCUUGUUAAUUGCUUUGCACCUGCAAACCAACACAGGUUUUAUGCACUCUUUCUUUGAAUAUUAAUUUUUUGCAUGUCUUCAUAAUGCUUGAAAAGUCUCCCCUGCAAACAUAUUAGUAAAGAGUAAAUAUUGAAUCUAAGACAAAACUCACGGCUUCAUCUUUCACUGUACACAGAAUAGGAUUUAAAGGAGGAUUUAGGUUUCCAAGGCUUCUAAUUAAGUAGUGAUAAUCAAGCUUUCUGCUGAGGGUCACUUCCUGGGAGUAAUUUGAGUUAUUAAAAUGCAUGUUUUUAUUUGUUCUGCUUUGCGAGCUAAAACUGAUCCCUUUUAAUAUAGCAGCAAAUAUGCAAAUUGGUGUUUCAUUAUAUUAUGCAAUUUAUGGCAAUCUUCUCUAAUUUACUGAAAGGGCAAGAGCCUGACCUUGUCAUUCAACUUUUUUUCCUGGUAAGCUAAACUAAUUAUGUGGAUCUUUUUAUAAAACUCUGAAAGUAUGCAGCAUGGUUUAAAAAAAAAAGUGACAAAUUCACCUUGAUUAUGCAUCAAGAUGGCCUUUGAAUUUGCUUGAAUCCCCCUGCAGGGUGAUGGAUAAUUUAAACUUACAUAUGGGAGCCAAUUUUUUUCAAGAUUUGAAAAUGGCUUCCUUUUUUUUCACAGAAAUCCUGGAAAGAGCAUCUGAAAUCAUUGAAAUAAUAUAUGUCAGGAUUUGAGCUAUGGACUAAAAAAAAGUUAAUUAAAAAUACUUGCAUGUUGUGUUAUGAAUUGAUAUCACGAUUUUUCUGUGUGUCAUCCUUCAAUACUUUUCAAUCACAUUUUUAUUAGUUAUAUGUUCUGCGUUUUCAAUUUUCUUUUAAUAAUUUUUUCCUUUCAGCUUUAUCUUACUUCUAAGCUCCUUUUUGCCUCCUCCACCAAGAAAUGUAAAGAAAGUUCUCCUCUGUCGAAGUCAGGAAAGCCUUGUUUAGUCUUCAGAGACUCCUGAGGAGAUUCUACAAAUGCUUUUUUCUCUGUAAGUACACCUUCCUUUCUAUCCCUGCAGGCUGAUCAGCCUUCUCAUUCCCAACAAUAAUUUUUUUCACUCACUCUCCUGCUCCAUAACGAUGUAUUUAUGGGAUCUGUAGUCAAGGACUGUGUUUGCCAAUGUGACCAAUUAGAAUGAUAUGUCUGGAAUGCGAGGACACAGGAACAGCAUCAUAAGUAUUGAAACUUUGAAAGUAACUGGGUUGGGAGGGUCUUGAGAGAACAGCUGGUCAGUAACCCUGAGCUGAGGUGGGGAUGUGAAUGCUUGGGUAGUCCCCAGCAGAUGUUUAUCCUGUUUGUUCUUAAAAAUCUUUAGUGAAGGAGAUUCACAUCUCUAUAGCAAACUCUUAUUCCUUAAAUUUAGUUGGAUUUUUUUCUUUUUUGUAUAACUUUCUGCAUUGCAAACCUAGCUGACUCCAUCCUUCAAUUUCUGUAAAAAAAAAAAAAAAAAGGAAACAAAAAACAACAAAAAAGACAAGUUUCCUUACACUGGAAGAAAAUACUUAAAGCAUAGAAUUAAAAUGGUGUUCUCCAACAGGAUUUAAUCCAUGUAGUUGAACACAAUUUCCUCUUGACCACAAUGACAGUAACAUUGUAGUUGUUGCUUCCACUAUCGUAACCUCUCCUGCUCGUGUUUAAACGCAAUGUGUAUUUGUAAUGCAAAUAAGUCCUUAAUACUGUGUAUCAACUAGAAUACACAGGUCGUAAAUCUGUGUUUGAACACUAAUCUCUUGCAGAUUGGACUGUAAACUGAAGUAGUAAUGUUCAUUCCCAUUAAUGCUUAAAAUUGUUUCUUUAAAGCAAUGAUCUAGCUUCUGUUGGCAAAAUGUUCUAGGUUAUGCUGCAUUUGCCCCAUGGGGAGUUGAUGAAAUUAGUCAUCGGGUUAAAAACUGAUUCAUCCUUUACUUUGCAGGAUGAGGACCAUAAGUGUAUCCACAGCCUGCUUUAAUUACAGCUUUGGCAUUUCCAGAUCUUGUGACUUUAGGUCCCCCUUUAUUUAGGGGUACUCUGGAAAGUAAAACGUGUGUUUUUGCAUUGGAGGACAAUGCUCAGAUUGUGACAGUUUUGAAAGCAACCUUGUGUUAUGAAGUAAUGUUUUUGUGGAUUUCUUUGUCUUUUGGGAAUGAAGACCAGCAGUUGGCAACUUCUGAUGAGGUGGUGAAUUUUGAUGAUGUGAAAUCUGACUAGAGAGACGGAAAUCCUUUAUAUUGAGCAAUAAAUUAAUCUGUUAAUUACUUAAUUCCCA
ensembl:lncRNA